rnacentral:rRNA from 1 species
AACGAACGCUGGCGGCGUGCCUAACACAUGCAAGUCGAACGAGAAACAUAUCCUUCGGGGUAUGGAGUAAAGUGGCGCACGGGUGAGUAACACGUGGGUAACCUACCCUAUAGUCUGGGAUAACUGGCCGAAAGGCCCGCUAAUACCGGAUGAGACCACAUGAGCUCCGGCUCAAGGGGUCAAAGUCGGCCUAUCAACGAAGCCGACGCUAAAGGAUGGGCUCGCGGACCAUUAGCUUGUUGGUGAGGUAACGGCUCACCAAGGCCGAGAUGGUUAGCUGGUCUGAGAGGAUGAUCAGCCACACUGGAACUGAGAUACGGUCCAGACUCCUACGGGAGGCAG